rnacentral:rRNA from 1 species
AGUGAACGCUGGCGGUAGGCCUAACACAUGCCAGUCGAACGGCAGCACAGUAAGAGCUUGCUCUUACGGGUGGCGAGUGGCGGACGGGUGAGGAAUACAUCGGAAUCUACUUUUUCGUGGGGGAUAACGUAGGGAAACUUACGCUAAUACCGCAUACGACCUACGGUUGAAAGCAGGGGAUCUUCGGACCUUGCCCGAUUGAUUGAGCCGAUGUCGGAUUAGCUAGUUGGCGGGGUAAAGGCCCACCAAGGCGACGAUCCGUAGCUGGUCUGAGAGGAUGAUCAGCCACACUGGAACUGAGACACGGUCCAGACUCCUACGGGAGGCAGCAGUGGGGAAUAUUGGACAAUGGGCGCAAGCCUGAUCCAGCCAUACCGCGUGGGUGAAGAAGGCCUUCGGGUUGUAAAGCCCUUUUGUUGGGAAAGAAAAGCAGCAGGUUAAUACCCCGCUGUUCUGACGGUACCCAAAGAAUAAGCACCGGCUAACUUCGUG